GACGAACGCUGGCGGCGUGCCUAAUACAUGCAAGUUGAGCGCUGAAGGUUGGUACUUGUACCAACUGGAUGAGCAGCGAACGGGUGAGUAACGCGUGGGGAAUCUGCCUUUGAGCGGGGGACAACAUUUGGAAACGAAUGCUAAUACCGCAUAAAAACUUUAAACACAAGUUUUAAGUUUGAAAGAUGCAAUUGCAUCACUCAAAGAUGAUCCCGCGUUGUAUUAGCUAGUUGGUGAGGUAAAGGCUCACCAAGGCGAUGAUACAUAGCCGACCUGAGAGGGUGAUCGGCCACAAUGGGACUGAGAAACGGCCCAAACUCCUACGGGAGGCAGCAGUAGGGAAUCUUCGGCAAUGGACGAAAGGCUGACCGAGCAACGCCGCGUGAGUGAAGAAGGGUUUCGGAUCGUAAAACUCUGUUGGUAGAGAAGAACGUUGGUGAGAGUGGAAAGCUCAUCAAGUGACGGUAACUACCCAGAAAGGGACGGCUAACUACGUG
rnacentral:rRNA from 1 species